rnacentral:rRNA from 1 species
CGGGUAGAGUAAUGCGUGACCAACCUGCCCCAUGCUCCAGAAUAGCUCUUGGAAACGGGUGGUAAUGCUGGAUGCUCCAACUUGACGCAUGUCUUGUUGGGAAAGUGUUUAGUGGCAUGGGAUGGGGUCGCGUCCUAUCAGCUUGUAGGCGGGGUAAUGGCCCACCUAGGCUUCGACGGGUAGCCGGCCUGAGAGGGCGGACGGCCACAUUGGGACUGAGAUACGGCCCAGACUCCUACGGGAGGCAGCAGC